UACGAAGGGGGCUAGCGUUGUUCGGAAUCACUGGGCGUAAAGCGCACGCAGGCGGAUUGAUAAGUCAGGGGUGAAAUCCUGGAGCUCAACUCCAGAACUGCCUUUGAUACUGAAAAUCUUGAGUCCGGGAGAGGUGAGUGGAACUGCGAGUGUAGAGGUGAAAUUCGUAGAUAUUCGCAAGAACACCAGUGGCGAAGGCGGCUCACUGGCCCGGUACUGACGCUGAGGCACGAAAGCGUGGGGAGCAAACAGG
rnacentral:rRNA from 1 species